AGUUCUAUACUUUAAAAAAAAGAUUUGAUUUGCAUUCAACCAUUAAGGAUUACUUUAGAACUA
rnacentral:tRNA from 1 species